rnacentral:lncRNA from 1 species
CUGACUGGUUUCCAAUUCUGCAAGUGAAGCCAGGGAUUGUGGAACAAGGUUAACGAAAUUGAUCCUAAAGGACCUUUGAAAGCGAAGAGUUGAAUCUUUUAGUUAGGGGAUGAUGGUAAAAUUGUUAAUCGUAAAAUUGCAUUGUGACACUCUCCCUCUCCCUCCCCUCUCUCACCUCUCCAUUUGUUAUAGGUCCUCCAACUAUGGUAUCCAUUGGUUGGCCAUUUAUUUAGAUCAUUACUUGUAUUUUCUUUCUUUCCCCCACCCACCUUUUCGUUGGAAAUAAAUGAAAGAGAUAAAAAAAAGGUUGUAUUGCACCAACUGUCCAAACAUGGAAUUUCAUUUUUUGGCAUUUAUGAUACCCAUAAGGUUGCAACUUGGGAGGGAUGGUCUAAUCCAAUUUUUAACUCAAAACACUUGAUCCAAGCUCGAUCUAACAUCAUUUUUUUAAGUUCGGGCUGGUCGGUUAGAUUUGAAUUGAUUGGGUUUUAUAAUUAAAAUUUAUUUAUAAUAUUUUUAUUUUUUUUAUAUAUAUAUAUGAAAAUUUAAAUAGUAAAUACAAUAAAAUUUUAAAAUAGUAAGAAAAAAAUAAACAUAAAUUUAUAAAUAAAUAUGUAUAUGUGAUAUUUUUCUUAAAUUUAUGUAUAUUUUUCUUAAAAGUAUAGAAAAAACGAGUAUUAUUAUUAUACGUUAUAGAUAUUAUAAAGAUAUAAAAUUAAGUUUGGGUUAAGCUUGAUUUGCUUGAAUCUUGGUCAAAGUUCAAUCCAAAAUGAGUUUGGGUUAAAAAAAUUUAACCAAAACUCAAUCAGAAUAUUGAAAAUAAUUAUGCAAGUUCAUCCUAACAUUAAGUCGGGUCAAACCGCUCAAGUUACAGCCUUAGACACCCAUAUGCUAUUUUGGGCCUAUCAUAGUGAGUGCGUGCUAUUGUGAAUGGCUUUUUGGGUGUAAUUUUCACCAACAUGCUUUGGGCUUCAAUGCUAUUUUGGGUCCAUGGUUAAUUGAUUUAAGUUUCUCUCAUUUUAUUUUGGCAAUAAAGGGGUUUAAUAUGAAGCUAAUUCAUAUUGGAAAACUUAGUGCUAAGUUUGGUUGGUUAGAUUAGCGUGAGAUAGGAUAAAAGAGAAAAUAUUAUAUUUUAUCACAUCCUUGUUGAUAAGAUAAGAUAAGUUAUUUUAUCAUUUAUUUUAUCCUAUAUUUAAUCAAAUAUGAAAUAAGAUAAAUGAUGAAAUAUAUUAUUCAUUUUCUUUUUUAUAUCUUUAUACAUAGUAUAUGUUAAUUCUAAGCUAAGAUAUAAGAUGCAUAUAUCCUAUGCAUCAUAAGUUCAUUUAUUUUUAUCAAAAUUUUAUAUUAUUUAUUUUGUAAAAUAAUUUUUUUUAUUAUAAAAUUAAAAUUUUGGUUAAUUAUUUUACAAAUAUUUAAAAAUAUAUUUUAAAAUAAUAUUAAUAUAUGUGUAUACAUAUAUAUAUAUAUAUAUAUAUUAUUUUUAUAUAUCGAACAAGCUUAUAUAAUUUUUUUUAUUUAUACAUUUUAAAUAUUUUAAUUAUAAAUAUUGAUGAAUGUAAGAGAAAUUUCAUUUUCUUAAAUAGAAAAUUUAUAAUGUCAUAUACUUUUAUUUUAUAUAUAUAAUUUUUUAUUUAUUUUAUAACGUAAAUGUAAGUAGAACAUAACAUAUCCUAUUUAAUAUGUUAUCUUAAAAUAUUAUAUCUAUUAGAUUUAAUAUAUAAGAAUAUAAAUUUUUAUUGUAAAUCAUAUCAUAUAUAUUUUUUAUCAAAUAAAUUAUAAUAUUUUAUGAUAUGUAUAUCUUAUUUUAUGGGAGUUUGUGAUUCAAAUAGCUCAUGGCAUGGCUUCUUCGGUGCGCGCUCAGUUUGCUUGAAUCAAAGUGAAUUGUCCCAUGCUAGCACUUCCGCGUCAUAACUCCACCAAAGGUGCUCAUGGGAAAAGCCUCCGUUAAUAAUGUGGAUUGCGCGUCUUCCAAAGAGCACUUCUUGAAGGCUUAGAAGUAUUCCCAGGGCUCAAAAAUUGAAAUGGCAAGGUGUUUUGAAGUUAUUUUGAGUGAUGGAUUAGUUUGGUCAUCCUUGAUCCGGCUUGAUGAUGAUUAGUUGGUUCAUAAAACCAUAACGGGCCAGCGUAUUCUAAGUGGUUGGAUUGUGUCCUAAGUCCUAACCUUACCUAUAUAAUCUUAAGUUUUGGUUCAAGCCGAGGUUUGUGGGUUGUGGCCAUUAAAAUAUACAUUUAAGGUCACUUUUAAACCAAUUAUUUAAAAUGGUCUCUCUCUUUGCCAUGUUCCUCUUUUUGUUAUUUUUUUAUUUUUGAAAAACUUGUUAGAUGCCCCAUUUAAAAACUGCAAUUUUGGUACAAAUUUAGAAACCAUACUUUGAAAUUGUGGUUUGAGUAAACAUUUAUAAAAACAUUUUGAAAAUGUUGUUUCAAACCAAUUUAAAGGAAAAAAAAAAUUAGUUGCUUUGAACAAUAGUUUCAUACCAAUAACUUACAUGUUGUUUGUUUGAAGUAUCAAUUUGAUUCAAAAUUCUAUAAUCUUUAUGUUUUAUUUUCUUUAGGGGCAAUUAUGAUUUAGGAUAGGCAAAGUGAUAAUAGAUUCAAGGCCUGGAUGUUUAGUAUAAUUGUUAUUAAAUAUAUAAAAUAUGAAAGACAAAAGUACUCUUAAAGAAAAUUAGGAAAAACGAGAUGAGAGUUUUUGUAGAUUGCUUGUGGGUUUUCACAAAAUUGUGGAUGUACUCUUUUAUAUGGAUAUACUCUUUUAUUGAGUGUUUGAUAAAUCGGUUUAUUGAUAUAAUAUGACUUAAUUAUCAAAUAUAAUAAUUAUGUUUGAUUAAGUAAUUUAAUAUUGUAAUAUAAAAUUUAAAAUAACUUUAAUAAAUUAACUUAAUAAUUUAAGCAUAGUUUAACUUAAAAUUAUCUUAAGUUAUUAAAUAGUAAGUAUUAAGUUUCAUAAAAUAUCUUUCUAGCGUUAGAAUUUAAGUUUUCCAAUAAAAAAAUGACGUUCUUUUAUUGAUUCUCACAUUUAAUCACUUAUUAAAAUCAUACAAUCCAUUCUCUUGAUAUUACCUUUUUAUUGGAUUGAAUCCAAAAUUUUUCUUGAUCAUAUUUCAAGGAUCUAGGAUAAUUCUAAGAUGUUUAAACAUUGAAGGUAACAUAAAACUUGAAGAUUUGAGGUUUAAAAUGUACUGAGCAAUGGAUUUGAGAUGGAUCUAGAUGCUCAAACUAGGUAAACCUUUUGCAUCAAUUUUGUUUUCAUAGUGAAUUAAUUUCAAACCUAGGGUUUGUGAUAUGUUUAUUUAUUUUUAUUUUUAUCUUUUUAUAUUUCCAUAUUGUAUAGUGUGUUUUUGCCUAUUAUCUUUUUCUUUUUCAAUUUCAUUUAAUUUCUAUUACUUAUAUCAUCAUAUGAAGAUCAUUUGAGUAGAUCAUGUGUUCAUUUGAUCCCAUUUGAAUUUUGAUUUGGUUUGGAGAGUUGGAAGUUAUUUUUUUGCAUGCCAAUUGGAUAAUGAAGUGUGAACCGACUUGAUUGUUUAAUCAUUCAUUCGUAUGCAAGCAGUUAAAAGUGCUUAAGGGAUUCUUUCUGAUAGAACGAGUAGAACAUGGCUUGGGCCUUGAAAAGCACCUUUAGAAGUUGAGAAUCAUUGUCCCUCGUGUCAAGAGAAAUUUAAAUGGGCCUUGGGCCCAGUAUGUCAAACUCAAGACAAGGACCAUGGCCACCCCUAAGCCCUUGCGCUGGGCUACCUUGUAUUGAUGGACCAUUGGGUUUCUGAUUCUUGUCCUUGACACUGUUUAUUCCUAAUCAAGUUAUUCUUAAGAAUCACAAAGAUAUUAGAAAGGGAAAAAACAAUCACUAAUUUGCAAAAAUUGACCCCUUCAAGAAAAAAAAUUGAUACAUGACCCUCAGUUGAUAAAAGUUUGUGGAAAAGAAUGAUAUAUUUUUUUUCAUUACAUUUUUUUAUAAAAUGAAAUAAUAUUUAUAAUAUACAAUCCAACAAAAUUAGGAAACUAAAUUAUACAAAGAAAGUUGAUUAAUUCUUAGAAAUCCUUUUUAAAAAAAAAUAAAAGAGGAAAUAUAGGAUGGAUUAUACAUUUCUUAAUGUUUUCAAUCAAAUCUAAAAAAUUAGGGAGAUUAAUUUUGACAUCUUCAAUCAAAUCAGUUAACACUUCCUCUUAAGUUGAUGAGUAGAUAUUUUCCAUUUUUAUUUUAUUAAUUAUUUUGUGAAAUGAUCCACUCGGUGCAACCUUUGUUAGAAUAUCAAGUAGCUCAUUUGGAGUACAAAAUAAAUCCACUAUUUAGCUUUUAUUUGAUAAAAUUUCAACCAUUAAUUUUAACGUGUUUUGUAUGAUUAUGUUAAACUAGGUUGUGAUCAACAUUCUCCAUCAUCAAGUAGUGAUAGUUCUUCUUUUCCAAUCUUUGGAUCAGCCUUUGCCACUGCAACAAAUCCUCUAUUCCUUCUUUACAAACCAGUUCCUGAUACUCAUGGUAAUGUUCACCCUAUGUUAAUCUAAGAAAGGGGUAUUUAAGGCUAAGGUCUAUUUGAAUCCUGACUUUACUAUUGUGGAGCAUAUCACUAUGCAGGAAACUUUACAAAGUGAUUAUUAGAAGGCUACCAUGGAACAAGAGUAUACUAGCUUGAUUUAAAUCAAGACCUGGUCUCUAGUUCCAAAACCAAUUGAUAAAAGGAUAGUUGAUUGCAAAUCGGUGUUCAAGAUCAAAAGGAAUCCUGUUGGGGCUGUCUCAUGGUACAAGGCAUGUUUGGUGGCUAAAGGUUAUCACCAAUCGCCUGGUUUUGAUUUUAUUGAGACCUUCAUUCCAAUGGUUAAUUAAACCUACAACAAUUCAUGUGGUGCUAAAAUAGCUUUUGCUAAAGGGUGGGAGAUUGACAGUUGGAUCGAUGUGAAUAAUGCAUUCUUGAAUGGGAUUCCCUAAGAAACUGUAUUUAUAAAUCAACCUCUAGGGUUUGAACAACGUGAUCAAUAGAGACCUUUGGUAUGCAAACUACAUAAAGCUUUACAUGGUGUUUGACAAGCUCAGAUCAUCAUUGCAACUUGGUCUUAUCUCAUCUUUGGUUGAUCAUUAUCUUUUUCUCAAGUUUUCUGCUGAUUCCAUUAUAUGUUCAUAUAGAUGAUAUACUAAUCACUGGUAGCAAUCCUAUAAAGAUUCAAUGCAUUAUUACCCUGUUGGAAGGUGAAACUCCCCUUUCCACAAAAGUGAGAUGCGGGGGAAUGUAUGGGGUUGGGCAGGUAGGAGGUCGUAACAUGGCGUGCAAAAUGGAAUUCAAAGAGGAAAAAGAAGAUUUUUUUUUCCUAAAAAAAAAAAGAAUUAAUCAGAUUUUCAAAGAUUGGGGUGAUUAAUGGCAGAUAUGGCUAAUUGUUGUCCUUGCGCCCUGCCCAUGUUGCAAUCUCAUUUUUUGGGCAUCAGAUUAAUCUGCUGCAUACACUUCAUUUGAGUUGCACCACUACGACAACAAAGAGAUCGAAGUCAAGAAUAUUGCCGUCCAACCAUAUCUUGAUCUAUACGUACCAUUAUUUUACCAUAUGACACUUCACAUCAUCAGUUUUCAGUGCUUAAAUUAUUGGGGUUAUGGAAUUAUUGCGAGAGAGAUGGGGAUAUGAUCUGGGUAUGUGUAUAAUAUAUACUUUGGUUUUGGGCCCCGCCCCUUAUGUUCAACAAAGGUGGGUUGGCAUGGCGUGAGACAAGGAUUCAUCACCAAAUGACAAGAUUCAAUUUCAAUCGCCAGCCAAAGCAAUUUCUGGCCGUAAUGUUGUGUUGACAAUACUUUUGAAGUGGUCCAUAGUGAUAAAAAUUAAAAAGUGAGGCUAUCCAUCUAGUUUUAUGGAACUCGUAUUAAAAAGGACCUGUAUGUGUAUAUGCCACUCAUUUAUUCUAUAUAUUCUUCUUGAAAACUUUGGACAUGGACGAAAAAAACACAUGGCAUGCAGUUAAAAAAUUCUUGAAAUUCACUGACACUGAGACUUGGAUCGACCAGCUAGGGAAUGCCUCCCAGCCUUGGAAUUAAGCUUAUGAAUAGUCAAAUCAUAUGCUUUGAACAAGGACCAUUUGCUUCAGGGUCUCAUGCCAUGUCUGGCUGCACCCAAUCAUGAUCAACUUUAUGAUUCUAUCUAAUGCUCCUUAUCCACUUCAACUUUGAUCAUCACCCCAAAAAAGAUGAUGCUUAAUCAUUAUUUUUAUAAAUUUUUUUAACCAUUGAAUAAUUCAAUGUGAAAAUAUUUGACACCUAAUCAUAAAAUGAUAAAUAUGGUACAAUUAAUACCCUCAAGAUGAGCCCACCCAUAAAUUUCAGCUUACUGCAUACUGCAUCUACAACAUUUCCCUUUUUUUUUCUUCUUCACAUUAUUUUCAAUAAAUAUCUACCAAAAUCUGAUAAGACUUUGUGACAAAGGUCUUAUCCAUUCUGUAUGCAAUGUACUAUUAUGUCGGAUAAAGGAAUGAAAAUAUUAUUGUGGAGCAUUUAAUAAUUGAAUCCAAACAAUGUUCCUCUCUGUAAUGACGCUGGAUAUCCUCACCCUCCGGGUCUUGUCAGUACAUGCUUUUGAAUAUUAAAAAAAAAGAAAAAAAAAUGGAUAUUGAUCGCAUGCAUGGCGGUGGAGCCCAGUGAUUUCACUUCCUGGUAAUUAAAGGGCUAUACUUUCACAUUCAUCCCACUUUAAAUAACUAGUUCCACUCACCGACUAAUUAUUUGUCACAACUAUCAUAUUCUAAAUUGCUUUCCGUCUCCUUUAACCUGUGAAAGACUCCCACAUUUUACGUGACAAUGCUUCAAAUCAUAUCUAUAAACAGGCUAGGGAUGCCCAUUAACUUAUGACAUUAAUGCACAAUACCAUGGGCCGGAUUAUAUUAAAGAUUCGCCCAUUUAUUUAUGAACUGAAGAGAUAUUCUUUUCACAUCUAUGUUUAGGAACAUAGGGAUACGUUUCAAUUUUAACAUAAAGUGAAAAAUAAAAAAAAUAGUGGUCACACCACCUAAAUAAUAAUUUAUUUUUGUGGAAAGCAAAUAAUAAAUAUUUAAUUACUUUUUUAAAAUAUUAAAUUUACUUUUAUUCUUAUUUUUUUAAAAAAAAUAUGGUUUUGCAAUAUAAAAUCAUUAACAAAUAAAAUGGUUAUUUUUGCUUCUAGUUUUUUCAUAACUAAAAAAAAAGAAGAAUAAUUAGAAGUGAAAUAUAUAUGUAGAUNNNNNNNNNNNNNNNNNNNNNNNNNNNNNNNNNNNNNNNNNNNNNNNNNNNNNNNNNNNNNNNNNNNNNNNNNNNNNNNNNNNNNNNNNNNNNNNNNNNNUCAAUGCUCUCAAGCACUUUGACAAAAAGGGCAUUGUUGGGUGAGUUCUAAUUAUUGAAUAUUGGUUUUUUUAUUGGAUUAAAAUAAUGUGCGCGGUCUGCAAAAUCUCCUUGGCAACAUUAGCCUAUUAUUAUUUGUGUGGUAGCAGUUGAAAAUCAUUCACCUAACACUCUCCCCCCUUGGUAAGUGAGUAAUUAGAUUCUUUUACUUUUCGAGUAAAAUAUCUUUCAAGAAAAGGUUGUGAUCCCAUAUAUAAUUAAAAAGAAAAAUAGAAAAAUCAAGCUCAAAUUAAUGCAUAUUGUAUUGCAGGUCUGUUACACAAUAAAAAGAAUAGAUAAUAAUAAAUAAAUAAAUACACACAUUUAUAUAUGAAAAAUCUUAGAUUAAAAAAAAUAUGAAUAAAAAAAAAGAAAAUUCAUUAUAUCAAAUCACAAGUCUCGUGAACUUUCUGAAUAGAAUCAAAUAAAAUUCAAGUCAUCACAUUCUGAGAAUGUGUUUGAAGUGUAAAUUUAAACCUUAUAUUAAUCUAAAAAAAUUUCAUUCACCACAUUCUAAGAAUGUGUUUAAACUGUAGGCUUAAACCUUAUAUUAAUCUAAAAAAAUUUCAUUUCCCAUUUAUAUUUUCUUAGUUAAAAUAUUAGGUAUAUAGUACUAUAAAUUUCAAAAUGAAUUGAAAGCUUAAACAAACUUAUGAAUUAAAAAUAAGUUGAAGAUAUUUUAAGAUUAUAAAUAGUUUGAUUUUUUAUUGUUUUAAAAAAAUAUAUAUAUAAAUAGAGGUUUUUCUUUUUGCCUUUUUUUUUAAAAAAAAAUCUUUUGGAGAGAGAGUUUCGUACUUCUUAGUUUUUAUAAUUUAUAUAAAAAUUGAAAAUUAUAUUGUUACUUGAAUAAAAUUCUAAAUUAGGAAAAACAAUAAAAAGAGGGAAGGAUGAUGUACCCGUCUAAAAAUAGCCGUAGAUGUUAGAUUACCCAUGCAUGGUUACAUCUAAUAAUUCACAUAUUUGAUAUUUCUCUAUCAUAGGUCUUUACCAUAUGUUAACAAAAAUACUCGGUGUUCUCUGCGGGUACAAAGGUCACCUCAGUUCUUCAUAGGGUUAUAUUUUUCUUACCGCAUGUCCCAACUCUCAAAUUCUCAAUCCCCACUUGAGUAAUUCAGCUUCAAGGGCACAGCACAUGGAGAGAGAGAGAGAGAGAGAGAGAGAGAGAGAGAGAGAGAGAGAGGGAGAGGGAGAGGGAGAGGGAGAGUGUGGUGAAAUCACAUCAGGAAAUAGCCCUAAGGUUAAGGCGCCCUUCUCUCCUUGGGACACAUGAGCAUGUGGCAGCCCACCAUCAUCCAUCGGUACCCAAAAAAAAAAAAAAAAAACCCCACAAAAAACCUUACUAUUUAAAAGGAAGAAGACAUAAUCUUAUUGGUUCUAUAAAACAAACAUUAUACCCACGUCAAUCACUGCAACUUGGCUUCAAAACAAGAGGGAAGAUAAGAUGACAAAGUUUAUAAAGUGCUCAAGAUAUGAAGUGAUGAUAAAAGGGCCAAGCCUUCUCAUGUGGCUAUAAAGUGAGAUUUAGUCUUCCUCUUAUGCGAGUAAAAUUUGCCUUCUCUUUCUUUUUUGGCUUUAAGAGAUGAUUCUUGGAAGCGACUUGUGAUUGAGACUAUAUUAUAAGGAAGCUUGGUGGGGUCAUACGAAAUGGGGUAUUAACACACCUUAUUACAAACACAUGGCUAGAAGAUAACACACAUAGUUUUGGUCUCACAAAGGGACGACACCAUUAUUUUUGGGGGUUAGUGUUUGUGAUCUGAUUUCUUUGACCAUUUUUAAUUCCUAUACCUCUUCGAUUCUCUACUUGUACAUGUCUCUACAGCAAAACUUGUCCUUGAAUCUCUACCCCCUUCUUCUUCAACUAUCAAACAUAUAUAUAUAUAUAUAUAUAUAUAUAUAUAUAAAACUCAAUCUUGUGACUUUAUGAUGUAUGCGUGUCAAACGUAUAUCCCAGAAUCGAGACAUGAAAGUUCCCAAUAUGUCAUUCUCAGUUGUCCUUUCAUUGCUAAAAUUAAUUGCUCCAGAAAUUUCACAUUAACCUGAAUUUGAUAAAUUUUACUAUCUAUCCAUUUAAAUAUUAUCUUUAUUAAAUUAUUAUUUUUUUAAAUAUUUAAUAUGGAACUUUGAUAUCAUAUUAAAUUAUGAAUUUUCUUAAGGUUAAACUUGUUACCCGUCCGAAAGUAAUAAUAGUAUGUGGCUUUAUCUGGAAAGACAAAUUAGAGGGGCUCAAAGCUUUGAAAAAUUAAAAAGGAGGUUGAAAUCAACAUUACUUGAUGUGACCAUUCAACUAUGGAGGAGGGUGACCCUUCCCACCACUCACCACUGCUUUUGUAGAAACCAAUACAAUCUUUUGUAGUUUGGUAGUACUCUUGAGAAUUCGUUUCUCCCUAGAUAAAAAUUAGGCUAGUCGCAUAGAAUCCCUUUUAUGCCUUUUCAUUCCCAUUUACCAGCUGCCCCCAAUGCUUUUUAUCAAAUGUCCAAUAAAUUCUCUGAAAUGGAGAUGGACUACACUCUGUGGACGAAUAUUUUCCCAAAUGUAUGAAAUAAUAAAUUAUUAUUGUUCGACCCUCUAAAAUACCCAUAUUUUAAGCAUGCAACUAAGCUUAUGGUAUACUCCUCCAUGCGUUCUUCCCUUCAUUAUAAAGGUUCUAGAUCAUUCGUACGUCAGCCCAACGCAAAGAAAAUAAAUAAAAAUAAAACCCCACGGGAGGAAUCUUCUAUUGGAUGGUCGGAUGGCCCAAUUUUUCUCUUCUUUACGGCAUGGUUUCCAACUUUCCAAGCAGCUCAUGUGAAGGCGUGCAACUACAACCAUAAAUAAAAACGAAAAUUUCAACAGUAUAGACUCCACCAAAUGAAGAAAAAGGGAUGUGGUCAUUAUCUUUGUUUGAAUAUGUUUAAAUUGAAAAAAUGAUGGGGGAGGGGAUGUGGUCAUUUUCUCUAACGUCAAAAUUUGGAUGUGUCAAUUUCCAGUUGUAGUUCAAGCCAGUUCACCUACCAAUAAAAUCAAAUAAUUGGAGGGCAAAAGGGGCUCCUUCCUCCGCCAUUUAAGGUCAAUGGCUCCCAAAAACUUUUAUAAUUGGUGUUCCAAAUUAUCCAAAUUGGUGUGGGUGACAGUUAUGAGUUUUCCCCCUUUCCCUAGUCUCUACAUGUGUUCAUCUUCUGAUAGCUCACCCCUACACGCUCUAGUCUAUCUAUCAUCACUUUAUUUUUAUCAUUGCCUUUUGGCGUUACUUAUGAUUGACAUCCAAGCGUGAACUUAAUCAGUUUAGUUAUAGUUGUUUAUUACAGCCAUCUAAUUAGUAAUUAUUCGUGUUUGAUUCCGGAAGGACAAGGGCCCUUGAUUGAUAAAUACUUGUUAUAUUUAGUGUUUGGUUCAAAUUUUUAAAAGGAGUAUAAAACCCAAAAUUAACUAAUAGGAAUUUUAAAUCCUCCUAUAAAAUUAGGGAUGAUAAUUAGGUAAAUUUUUUCAGGUUAUCCUAUCCCACCCCUUAAGAUAAAGAGAAACGAGUUGAAAAUGGAUUUAAAAAGUUCCAAAUAGAAUAGAAGUAGUUUGAGGUCUCGCUUUUGCUGUGUCUCUAUUAUAUAUAAUUUUAAGCAAAAAAUUAUUUUAACUAAAAUUUUUCAUUCUUCAACUUUUUAAAUAUAAAUAAAAUAUUAAUUUUUAUAAAAAUAAAUUGUAAAUAUUUAUAUGAUUUUUAUUUAUAAAUUAUAUUUAUUUUUAAUAAAAUUAAAAUUUUAAAAAUGAUGAAAUUUUUUAAAAAGAUUUGAAAAUUUCUUAUAUUAGUCUCAUCCUAUUUAUUUAUUUAUUGACCCGAUAAUAAUAGAUAUAAUCUUCAUCCUAAACCCGAAUCUUGCCAUUCUUAAGAAAAAUUAUAAAUAUAUAUAUAUAUAUAUAUAUAUAUAUAUUAGAAAAACUAUCAACAGAAUUAACAGUUUUCCAUAUUAAUAUAAUAAAAUUUUAACAUUACUUAUUUUUUUCUUUCCUUCAUUACAUUUUUUUCUUAGUAUAAUAAUAAUUUAUUUGUCACUGAUGAUUUUUUCUAAUAAGAUAUUGUUAUUAUCGAAAACAUUGUUUGGGAGUGAUUUUAUUUAUAACAUUAUUAAAAAAUUUACUUAAUACCUAUAUAUAAAAAAUAUCAUAAAAAAGUGAUUUUUUAAAAAAGUCAUUUACCAAGUAACACGCUUAUCCAAUUAAACAAAGCCCACGGUAUUGACAAGGAAACAUUUACCAUCGAAAUUGUUACCAUAUUAUAAAUAAAAAAAAAGGAAAAAAAAAAGAAGCCCAAUUGUGCUUGUACUUUCUUUAUACUAAGUAUUUCCCCAAAAGAGGUCAAGCUAAAGGAGCCCCACCAUUUAAUAAUGAGAUUCUCCUACAUCUUUUUUUUUUUUUUUUACCCUUGCAGCCAAAAAGUCUGAAUAAAUUGAACCUACCUGAGGUUGGUCAAAUUUUAAAUAGUUGCUUCUUUUAGUUGUACCAAACCAAUUGCAGCUUGAAGAAGAAUAGGAAGAGAGAUGAGUUCAUUGGGGCCUUCCUUAACCACCCAAUUCUUUAUCCCUUUGUGUUUGCCAAGUAUGAGAAAAAUACACCCCUUUGGAGGAAUUCUUUUGUUGAUACUGAAAUUUUGGAAAAUGCUGUCAAAUUGGGAAUAAGAUUGAGGUAACUCAAAUGUGGGUAGGCAUAAUUGGCUCUUUCUAAAUGAAUCCAUUGCAGAUUUGGAAGCCCAUGCUGGUCCAAUUUUAGUUAGACAAGUGCGCGGGCGAGGGGGAAUUUGUGAAAUUGGAAUGCACCCUAAAUUCAUCAUAAAUUGUCCUGUUUCUUAAAUUUCUGAAUUUAAGAUGCUUAGAAAAAAAAAUAAAAAUUAUGGGCUUUUAGAAAAUUAAUAUUUUGUUUAAAUUAUAGUUUUAGGCUUUUUCCCGGAAAAGCGAAACUGAAAAAGCCAUCGAAGGUCCCAAUAUUAUUAUUCGCUUUCUAAAAAAUAAUUGCAUAUUUUAAAUUUUUGUGGAAAGUGAUGACAUGUGAAAAAUUUGCCCAACCCCAAACCCUUCCACCAAUCAUAAUUAGAGAGAAAAUUUAUAGGGAAAUGUGGAAGAAUUUGAUCACAUAAGCAUGUGCGCAGCUCAUGAGCUCGAAUAUCCUCACCUAGAUACAAACCAUGAGAGCAUGCAUCCUCACGCUUCUAUCGGCUUCGUGAGGACACGACCGCGGUGUUUGAUGCGCACGCGGUGGGGAGAGGGGCGGGGGAGGAAGUGGGGAGGGGGGGGGUCCUCGAGAAGAGAAAAGAAAGGAUGUGGGAAGCGUGGGCAGUGGAAUAGCGUGCCACAUGGGGUGAGAGCAGCAUUAUUCUUGUUGUUGAGACUGCCCUUGACACGUGUCAGAGGAAGAGGCGUCCUCUCCUCCCCGGCCCCUCCACGCAUCGUUACCCGCGCUCUCUCUCUCUCUUUUCCCAUACUACACUCUUUCUCUAUUCAUUACAUCAUUCCAUUUUCCAAUAAUUAUUCUCUUUUCUCACUCUCAUUUACUAACCCCCUUUUCUCUCUCCGUUACUCAAACUAAUUUUCCCUCCUACACAUUAAUUAACAUAAAUAAUUCCACGUCUUACCUAAAAAAAAUUAUUUAAAACAUUGUGAUGUUACCACUUACCCAUCAAAAAGUCGAAGAAAAUAAAGUCAAAUUCGGUCAACAUGUCAUCAUGAAAAUAAUCUUCUCUUUUACUAUGCCAAAUCAUGCAUGGUCCAUUAAUGAUUUCUGUUAAUGUGACACUGAUGAUGACUAUGAUAUUUGCAUUAAUUAUUAGAUUAGUGAGCGAAACAAAAAAAUUGAAGAGUGGCGUCCACUGACCUCUCUAAUUUCCUUAAAAGGGCGUAGAGUGGGGGUCCAUGGCCUAUGUUAGGGUUAAAGUUGAAAGGUCGCUUGAAGCCAACAUUUGGACUGAGCUAGAACUUUCUUCGACUUUUGGCUUAUCGUAUCUAUAAAUUUAAAUAUACAAUAAUUACAACAGCUAGGAUGCCAUUAUUUUCUUUAAUAAUUUUACUCUACUCAUUGAUUUGUCACCCUCAUGAAAGACACAGUGUAAGUGAAUGAACCAAAUGAAAAAAGAAUACUUGGGAAUCUGAGUUGUCCAUCCCAUUGAUUCCAUUUCCUCCCCUUUUGGUUCAGUUUCAGACCCAUUAAGAAAAGUUCAACAAAAUGAUUUUUUUCCUAUUUCUUUAUCAAAAAAAUAAAGAAUAAAAUUUCAUUAAAAUACCCCUCUUGAUAUUUUGGCAUAAGUUCUAAAAUAAGCUUUUGGAAAUAUCUGGCUGUUGUCACUCUUUAAAGAUAUUUUAUUGUCCCCCUUAUUUAUAUACGUAUAUAUAUAUGUUAUGCCUACUACAAUAAUUAAUAAGUUUAAAAGCUCUCUCUAUUAUUUACAAUACAAAUUAAAUUAAAUGUGUUUCUCAAAUUUUUUUUCCCUUCUUGUUAUUGUUGGAAAUUCUUACAUGGGAUGCUAUAAAUUAUAAUAUUUUUAAUUUUUACAAAAAUCAUUCAAAUUCUUUAUACUAUUUUAUUUUUAUAAUUUUUAAUAACUCAUAAUUUAUAUUAUAUAUAUUGUAUGUGGAACCCAACGCAUAGUAUUGAUUUAUUUUUAUAUCUAGACAUAUACUAAAAUAUUGUAAGUGGAACCCAACACCUGUUUAUUUUAUUUAAAAGGUAGAACACUAGUUGGUAGGAUCUAUCAAAACUUAGCUUCAAGAGAUAGUGGGGAGAUCCAUUUUUAUAAAUUAGUUGCUUCUUAUUCUGGUUUUUGAGUAGAAAGUGUUAUUUUAAUUUAAUAAUUUAAAAUUAAAAAUAAAAACUACUUAAAAGUGAAAAUUUAACAUUUAAGUUUUCAUAGGUAAAAAAGGAAAGACAAAUUGGGAUUUGGGAGUAAUGUACCUGAUACGGAAAGAUCGUAUGGACAUUUGUCAUAUACCGUAUAAAUUGAAAAAUGGGAANNNNNNNNNNNNNNNNNNNNNNNNNNNNNNNNNNNNNNNNNNNNNNNNNNNNNNNNNNNNNNNNNNNNNNNNNNNNNNNNNNNNNNNNNNNNNNNNNNNNNNNNNNNNNNNNNNNNNNNNNNNNNNNNNNNNNNNNNNNNNNNNNNNNNNNNNNNNNNNNNNNNNNNNNNNNNNNNNNNNNNNNNNNNNNNNNNNNNNNNNNNNNNNNNNNNNNNNNNNNNNNNNNNNNNNNNNNNNNNNNNNNNNNNNNNNNNNNNNNNNNNNNNNNNNNNNNNNNNNNNNNNNNNNNNNNNNNNNNNNNNNNNNNNNNNNNNNNNNNNNNNNNNNNNNNNNNNNNNNNNNNNNNNNNNNNNNNNNNNNNNNNNNNNNNNNNNNNNNNNNNNNNNNNNNNNNNNNNNNNNNNNNNNNNNNNNNNNNNNNNNNNNNNNNNNNNNNNNNNNNNNNNNNNNNNNNNNNNNNNNNNNNNNNNNNNNNNNNNNNNNNNNNNNNNNNNNNNNNNNNNNNNNNNNNNNNNNNNNNNNNNNNNNNNNNNNNNNNNNNNNNNNNNNNNNNNNNNNNNNNNNNNNNNNNNNNNNNNNNNNNNNNNNNNNNNNNNNNNNNNNNNNNNNNNNNNNNNNNNNNNNNNNNNNNNNNNNNNNNNNNNNNNNNNNNNNNNNNNNNNNNNNNNNNNNNNNNNNNNNNNNNNNNNNNNNNNNNNNNNNNNNNNNNNNNNNNNNNNNNNNNNNNNNNNNNNNNNNNNNNNNNNNNNNNNNNNNNNNNNNNNCUUUUCUCUUUCUCUUUUUAUUCCAAUCUUUUAGUUGACAGUUACACUGCCACAACGCGGCAGUUUGGAUUUAAUGUAUCUGAAACUGCAUUUUGCAUUUUAUUGGAAGUGUGAAUUCCCAUUGCAUAAUAAAUUAUAAAUUACUUAAUGGGUAGACUGUAGAUGUAAUCAAUUGAAGUGGUUUUGUUCCGUCCCAUGUUAGGGGAGCAACUGCAAGAUCAACUUAAAUACAGCCUUAAUUCCGAACCUUCUUUUAUUCUUGUAGCAUCUUGCACUUGAACCAAAUAGCAGUAAUUCUUUUUUUGUGGAACAUGACAAUCCAUCUUAGCCUUUGUGUUUGCUUCUGGUCCUUGAUUCCUCCAUUUUGACAUCUUAUUCUAACUGUUUUAGAUGUCGAGCAGCAUAUUUGAGAUAAUUGUUCUUGGUUGAUCUAAUAAUUUGCUUUUUUUUUUUUUUUUGGUCAUUUUACUAUUUCAUGGGACAAGUAUUUACCAGUGCUGGAAUAAAUAUCUACCAUUGUACAAAUUCACAUAUGAGUUAAAAAAAAGGAAAAGAUAUACAAUUGUUAUUAAGUUAUAUAUACUAAGCCCAAAGUAUUAUGGUAUCUUUGGUUCAUUUCAGGCAUUUAAGCUCAAGUAAAUGAUGAUUGGUCUUGGAGUAUCUUAGGAUAGUCACUAGCUAGACUACUUGGUUACAUGGGGUGCUUGAGUUUUAAAUCGUGGUUGGAGCCGUGGAUGCCCUGCAGUGGAAUGCCAGCAUCAGUGCUAUGAAAUCUUUCAUUGGGCUAAUAAAAUUCUUGAAUGUUAAUGAUGAGAAUGUUUUGACCCAGAUCUCCUUAUACUAAUAUUUCCGAUGAUUUUCAUUCAACCUGUAGGCAUGGUUUUCUGUGGAUAUUUUGUUUUAUAUCUGAUUUUACACUCAUUGUGGAUAGGAAAUGCCAUAACUGCUUGCUUUUCAUAAAUUUUAUGUGAACAUUUAGAAUCUAAAUACUAAACCAAUUGAGAUCACCCUGCACAGCCCCACCACAAAAUAAUAAAUCUUUCCUAGAAAAUCAGUAGAUGGAAUGUUUUUCCCAUUUGGGAUCUUAUAAGCUCCAAUAAACCCAAAAAUAAAAAAUAACAUAAAAAAUUUUAAAAAUCAGAAAUGAAAAAAAGAGUGAUUUAAAUAUAUUAGUAGUUCAAAAAGCUAAAUUUUAGUUAAGAAAAUGAAAAAUUUUCAUAGCCCAAAGUUUUACAAAUUCAUAUCAGAACCUGCACCUAGAGAAAAAAAUGGAAAUGACAGAUUUGAAGUGUGCGUUCAGUGAUAUUUCAAGUUGUUUGAUGACCCUAGUUUCAAACUUGUGAUUGAUAUUCGAGUAACAUGGAAAACGGUUCAAGGGAAUAUACAUCUAGGAUAAAAGUGAAGACUAUACUCCUGGUGUUGCUCAUUAGACAUUUUUCAGAAUUCAAGAUCUAGCUUUUAGUUUAUUGAGGAGAUUAUACAUUGCCUCAGCAGUUGUCAUGAACUGUUAGUGCGAAUAAUUUUUUCUGUUUUGUCAUAGGUGGUGUCUUUGGUGUAGUAUGGCAUUAAAGAAAAUAAUUGGAAAUAGCAAAAUGGUGAAGAAAGUUUGCGUUUAGAUAGUUUUCAGUGUAAAUAUACACCUUAAUACAGUCACAUCUAGAUUCUCAUACUUUACCCAGUGUUAUUAAAUGUGGUGCGUUUAACAUAUUAAUUUCUUUAGUUGUAUAAUUGAAUGAUCUUGAAAUGUGGUUUUACUCUUUGAUAAUAUAUUUUACUGGAUCCUUAUUUUUUGUCUUAUUUCCCUAUGUGUUUCUAGAAUGAACUUGCUAAUUGAUUAAAUUCAUCACUUUUCUUUUGCAUAUUCAGGCAGCUAAUAUUGAAGCUGAAGUUUCUGGAAUUAAUGAUAGUGAAUUUCAAUUGACAAAGCAUGAACUGUCCAGCCUAGGGCGUGGAAAAUAUAGUGGUAUGAUUAAUGUGCAUUACUUCUGAUCCUGAAUAUAUAUCCUUCCUUUUCUUUGUUUGCUUCAUUUAUUUUAUCAUUUUAAAAUUUGUAAGCAUGCCCCAAUAUGGAAAAUGGAGCAAAAGAUGUAAAAGAUACGUUUUACAUAAAACCAUGUACUUACUAAGAUUUUCCUCCUGUUUUAAGCUUUUAAUGCAAGGUCUGUGUUCUUGUUUUAUGAAUGUUGCAUCCAUGCUUUGUGUAAUACAUAGUUUUCUAAGAUUUAUGCAUAAAUUUGAAAUAUCUAGUCCUCCUAUUUCAGUUUCAAUUAAGGCCAAUGGUGAAUCCUUUUUCAUGACUUCUUGUUGUUUAUCAUUCCUUUGGCAUUUUCUAUUGCCAGGACUUAAGGUAUAAGCUUUAAUUGCAUAUCCCAGUGACUGCUUGCAGAUUGUGGUUACCUCUUAGAAAAACUGUGCUGCAGCACCAUGCAGAUUAAAUAUGGCUUUGUUUUGAUUCAUUAGUGACUUGUUUAUUUUGGUACAUCUUUCUCCUGCUGAAUAUGACCAAGUGGAUCACAACUUCAUAAAUUUUCCUUUUAAACCAAAAGCUUAACCAUAUUCUUGUAGUGUUUAACUGCCCCUUGUUUACUCUACUGAAGCUUAAGAGUUAGUUAUUUUUAAAUUGAAGUUUCAAUUACCAAAAGCAGAAAAUUUUUAUGUUCUUUGAGUGAUUUGCACAGCUAAUAACUGUAUGGGUGCUUGUGAUAUUAAAAUCACUCAACUUCCCAUGAUUGCCAUGAAUUUUCUGAAUCAAGAUUCUUAGAUAUGUUGGUAGAUAAUUUUUCUUUUUCUUUUUCUUUUCUUUUUUGUUUUGAAAAUUUCAUUCUGUGGAUUCUCAUUAAAAAUUUUGUAAUUACUAUUUUCUUUUUAGCAUGCCUUCUUAUUUUCUCUACAUUUCAUUUUGGUAGAGUGCAGCACAACUGAAUCAUCUGAUGAUAUUGAGAAACAAGAGCUUGAGGAAGUGUCAGAUGAGGAGGAAACCUCUUUCUUUGACACUAGAGAGGAUUUUGCUGAACCCACAGUCAGUUGUGGGUCUAUAACAGGAGUUGUAAAUUACAUGGAUAAGCAAAUGAAACCUGAAAUUCAACUUGAUAAUGCAGAGAAGAUUCAUACUGAGAAUAGAUUUUGUGAAUCUAGAUAUCCACAAAUUGAAAGGCGAAAGAAGCUUCCCGAUCCAGUUGAGAAAGAGAAAGGGGUAAGUCUUUGGUCUAUGAUCAAAGACAAUGUCGGAAAGGAUCUCACACGAGUUUGUCUCCCUGUUUAUUUUAAUGAGCCAAUAUCAUCCCUUCAGAAAUGUUUUGAGGACUUGGAGUACUCUUAUCUUUUGGAUCGAGCAUAUGAAUAUGGAAAAGCGGUAUGCAUAUCUUUAUCUCUUACUCUCUCCCUUUGAUAUAGGUGUACUUGCAUUGUUCUUUUUGGUUAUUUCUCCUUAUUAUGCUACAUGCUUGUCUAUAAUAAUACUAUUUAAAACACAAGCACUUGUUCAAUCUUUGUGGGAUGUCUGAAGUUUCCCCAAAUCUAUAUUGCAAUGGUCUAAUGCCUUUCUUUUCUGCAUCAUUCAUUCUAUUCUUAAUGUCCUUUUCCACCUGUGAAAAAGUAAAGAUUUAGGUGAAAGAAAUAGAUUCAGUGUGGGUCCAAAUGAGAUUAGAACACCAAUAAAGAUUGCGUGAAUAUGUGACUGCUAUUAGAGAAAGUUCAUCAGAGGCCUACUGCCUCAGCACACAAGGAAAAGUAAUUUUAACUGUCAUGAGUCUCUCUGCAAUUAAUAACAUGUGAGUUGAAAUUGUAUAGAGUACUAAUCCCUAACCCAAUUAAGAAUGUUGUACUUGUCAAACUGUAUCAUGUAAAUUGCAGUUUUGAAUUCUUCAAGUUCAUUAAUACAUAUGGUCCUAGCAUUCAAUUAAUAAAAAUUUGAAACUAGGACAGUAAGGUUGACAUUUUUUUUUCCAGAGUUUAUGUUUCAAUGAGCAUUUUCCAGAUUAGCCUUCAUUUACACUUUACAUCAAAUUUAGUAAUGCUAAAAUAUUUUGUGAUUGUUAAAGACGUUUACUGCUUUAACAUCUUCAUGAAAUCUGACAUUUUUCCCUCAUUGGGCUUUCCUUUUUGUUUCUAGGGAAACAGUCUCCUAAGAGUUCUACAUGUUGCAGCUUUUGCGGUUUCUGGAUAUGCGUCCUCUGAAGGUCGGCAUUGCAAACCCUUCAACCCAUUGUUAGGGGAAACUUAUGAAGCUGAUUUUCCUGAUAAAGGAAUUCGUUUUUUCUCUGAGAAGGUCCGUAGUUAAGGAUGUUAGAACAGAUCUAUGAUACUCGAAUCUUUUAAUUUCACCAACACACACAUGUGGACAUAGCAUGACAUGGGUAUAUGGUUAUGAGAUCCUUGUUGGAUAUUCCUAUUUUUUUUUAGGUGUGAGUGUUUGAUUUUUUCAUUGAUGUCCUUUUAUUCUUUCAACUUUCUUAGUAAUAAUUACAUUGGAGAAAAGAAAGAGUUGGCCAAAAAGUGAAUUUUUAUAAGAAUAUUUAUGGAUAAAAGGGGAAAGAUGAGAGCUUUUGAGAAGGAUAUCUUCACUUCCAAUGUAUUUUUAAUUGAAUUUUCUUUUCUUAUGCUGUAUCCUAGUACCCAUACCCUUUUUGAGAUCCCUUUUAGCCGAGUCCCUUAUCCUAAAAUUUGAGUUGUGAUGGACAGGACACUUAGACACAUUCCCACAUCUGACACUCGUACUUGAAUCCAUGCAACAUAGGAACAUACACAAGGACAAAUGUAGAAAUUGGUGACAGGGAAGAAGUAAUAUUGUUAAAUUUUAAGUGGGACCCAUAAGAGACUGUGCAACCUUGAGAAAAGAAACUGUUACUGGGAUUUUUCAAAAAAUAACAUCAAUAGUUUGCAAUUACUGAGAAAAUUGCAAGAGAAAAAAAUGGAUGAAAAGCAUGACCUGCAUUUGAAAAUUUUCUCGAAUGACUCUUAAAGAGAUAAAAAAUGACAGUACUCAUUUCCCUGCUUCAUUGAAUUAGGACAUUCCAAGUUUUCGCAAUACAAUGUGGAUAUUUUGAAUUUAUUUGAAGAAAUUGGAACAUAGAUUUAUGACUUAUCAUCCAAAUUUAACCACUUUGGUUUUAUGUUGAACAAGAACAAUAGUAGUUAAAUAUUGAACUCUAAUUUCCUCCAUUAUCAAAGUAAUGAAGGGUUCUAAUUAUGUGGCAAAUAAUUUCUGGAAAGAAAUUUGUUGUCUGGUUAAACAUUUGUAAGUCUGUGCUCUUCCAAAAGUGUAGACGAGAAAAGGAAGAUGGGACAUGCUGAAAAUUUUCUGAAUUUCAUUCUAUUAUUCAUCAAAAACACUUCACAAUACUUUAUACUCUCUCUCUCUCUCUCUCUCUCUCUCUCUCUCUAAAAGCCUGACUAAAACCUUGUUUGUUAAAUAGAACCCUAAAUAUUUAUUCUCAAUGUCCACCUAGCAAAAAAAUUAAUGACUAAGAAAAUUAGUUGCUGCAAAAAUUAUUGUGAUCCCAGCCAUACUAGUGUACGUCUUGAAUAGACCUUUUCCCAAGAUCUAAAGUUACGUGAAAUUGACAAGUUGGUAGAAGUUAUAACCUUCCUUUGUCAGCUGCAUCACUUCUCCACUUUUUGAUUACUUAUUCUCUUCUAUCAAUUAAGUCCUGAAUUCCUUAGCAAGAUUUAUUUUUCUCUGAUCAUUGUCAUUUCAUCACCCCCUUUUUUUGUGUUGUUUAUUGAAACAGGUUAGUCAUCACCCAACACUCAUUGCCUGCCAUUGUGAAGGUAAAGGGUGGAAAUUCUGGGCUGACAGUAACCUACGAACAAAAUUUUGGGGACGAUCAAUUCAGCUCGACCCUGUGGGAGUUUUGACCCUUGAGUUUGAUGAUGGUGAGGUUUUCAAAUGGAGCAAGGUGUGUGCUGCUGCUAUUGUGCUUGUGCAAGAAAUAUUGCUUGCUUGUGUGUUUUCAUUUUUUGGAUACCUGUUUUUUGAGGGGAAAAAAAAAAAAAAAAUCUAAAAUGUGUUUAUAUUGUCCUUAGGUCACGACCACCAUUUAUAAUCUUAUCCUUGGUAAAGUGUAUUGUGAUCACCAUGGUACAAUGCACAUACAAGGUAAUCACCAACAUUCAUGCAAACUCAAGUUCAAAGAGCAGGCUCUUCUUGACAGAAAUCCUCACCAAGUAAGCAUUCUACUUUGGAACCUCUCUGCAUAUGUAUGUAUCUGCAUGCUGCAUCACUCUAUAUUGUUAUUAUCCAAUCUGUUCAAAUUUAGUGUUUUUUUAGGAUUGUGACCAGAAUCGUUUAAAUGGAACCUACUUUCUAUGCAGGUACAUGGUUUUGUUGAGGAUCUCACAGGGGAAAGGGCUGCUACCCUAUUUGGGAAGUGGGAUGACAGCAUGUAUUACGUUCUUGGAGACAGAACUGGCAAGCUGAAGGACUGUAAUGGGUCCCCGGAUGCCUCCUUGUUGUGGAAAAGGAAUAGGCCACCUCCUUGUCUCACUCGGUACAACUUAACGUCAUUUGCAAUUACACUAAAUGAGCUGACGUCAGGACUGCAGGUAGAGAUAAUGUAUUGAAUCAAUUUUUUUAUGUGCAUAUUCAUUUUCCUCUUAUGCAUAUCUAAUUGUCUUUUAUAGCUCUGUCUGAUCCCGGGUAUUUGAUCACGGAUUAAGGAGAAGCUCCCACCCACGGAUUCAAGACUUAGACCAGAUCAACGACAUCUAGAGAAUGGAGAAUAUGAAAAGGCAAAUGCAGAAAAACUACGGUUAGAGAAGCGGCAGAGGAUGGUAUGAGUAGCUCCUCCUUUCCCUAUUUCUUCAAUCCAUUUUAUUCAUGGCAUCAUUGUUUGAUGAUUUUAUUAUUUAACCAAAUUGGAGAUUCUUGUGCCAAAAGCACAGCCAUAACAUAGUCACCACAGUUUUGAUUGAUGAAUAAAUGCUUCUUGGUACGAAGUGAUGUGGAUAUCAGGCCAGGAUUUCUUUAUUGUUUCCUUCAGAAUUUGCAUCUAGUUGAUUGAAUUUGGAUUUGCAAUUGUGGUUUUCCUUCAGUCCUUGGAGGGCUAUGUUGAGGAUUUGGUUGUUACAUAAUCAGUUGUUCCUAUCAACUUUGAAUUGCUUCCCACAAAAUGAUUUAGAACACAAACGUUCCCCAAGAUUUGGACAUUGGACUUGAUGGUGGCGCACCAUAAAGUUCCAUACAACUUGCUUCAUGGUAGAAACCUUACAAGAUGCUAUCUUUGAAUAUUUGUUUGUUAUUCUAGAGGCGUGACCAUGUUUCUCUACAUUUCCCAUUUACUAGAGCAAAGCUGAGUUGGGUUCCUCCAUGGCAUGCAUUCACCAAAGUCAAUCUGAGUUCAGUUGCCCCAUGCCAUGCAUUCAUUGAGGAUAAGUUGACUUGGGUUCCUUCAUGGAACAGCAUUAAAUGUUUUAGAUUUUGAAGUUUAGCAAAGGGAUUAGAGGCAGAUUAGGCUGAAUCAAUUUCCCUGUUUCUCUUUGGGGUUUGAUGACGAAAGAAUUUGAACAAGUUCCUCAUUAGUAUAUUUUGAAGGACUGAAAGGAGGUCUUCUUGACUAGUCUAAGCCAUCUUGCACCCCACUUUUAAAUGGAUUCCUCUUUGUAUGGGAUAGUUAAAUUUUAGAAUGGGUGCUAGGGGCACUUUUAGAAACAAUUGGGGAUGCAGAAUUAUGGGAAACUCAGGACUGCAGGUGAAGGGAAUUGUCCUAUACCAUUGAGUGGCACUGGAUAGCAAAUUGGUUUCUUGCAAGUUUGCACUGAAGGGAGAGAGAGAGAGUCAGAGCUGCUGGGUGAGACAUCUCAUUUAAAUGGAUUCUUUGAUCUGUAAAUGUAGAAAUCCAAUUAUUUUUUAGGGGCACAUCGGAGAGCUUUGAGAUUUCUUGAGAACUUUCCUGUAUGAAACAAGGGUUAAAAAACAAAUUUCUUUAUCGCAUUUUCCUUUUUUUCACCUUCUAUUUGUGGUUGCUUGCUUUGUUGGAUUCCAGUCCUUCAUAUCUUUCAUGCUCGCUUUCAGGAAACUCUGUUUUCUAUGUCUUUGUACAUUUCAAAUGUCUCCCCAAUGUUUAAGAAAGUUAAAAUUUUGUAGUGGUUUGAAAGUAAAACAGGAAACUUAAUAUAGUGCAAACAUUCAAAACCGUGUUGGCAUCAUUUGUGUUCAAGUAUCAGUGUUUAUGGAAUUUGAAAUGCACAGAAAGGGACUAUGUUGUAAGAUUUCUUCAUCUUUGUUAAAGAUUUGCAUCUUCAGUAUCCUCUUUUGUUAAAAUCUUCAAUCCAUAGAUUUCCAAUUGACAAAAAGAAGUUUAUUUAGUUCUCUCUUUGGUUGUUAUUUCCAGUUUCAUCUCUCUCGUCACUUGGCUGAAAAAGGUUUCCUGGGUUUUGUAUAUUCUUUGCAACUCAUUAAGUGUUAGGAAUAGAUAUACAAUAAUAUUCAUUGUUGCAUGUCAAGAAAGUUGGUUCAUCAAUUUCCCAUUUUAGCACCUUGAUUGGUGAUGUUCCAGAAGGGGAUGGAUAUUAUCUUCCAUGUAAGUUGUGACUUGUUUGGGGGGGGGGGGGGGGACAAGAGGAUGCCGCAUAUGCAUGGCAAACAAUCUUGAGCUUAAUUGCAAUGAGAGAUUGCAGGACUGGCAAAUGAUUGCCUUCUUUCUGUUAUGGUACGGGCAGUUAAUUGUUUGCAUGGAAAGGGCGGCUGUUUGUAGUCUCCUUUCAUCAAAAAGAAAAAAAAGGGCGACUGUUUUAUGAUGCACUUUGAGGACCCAGUAAGAGGAAAUGUGUAAAUUCAGGAUUUUGAGCUUUGGUUUUUGUUCUGAAUUUUGGCUCUCUUGGGAGUGAACAUUUAUUUUAGGGUACCAUGGCAAUAGUGUUUCAUCUUUGCUUUCUUCUGAAUUCAUCUAGAUUCUUUUGGAGCAUCUAUGUUUAACUAAGGUUUUUUUUCCAGUCAGUUGUCAGUUAUUACUACUAUUAUUGUUGGUUUUGUUGCUGUGGUUACUGACAUACUUCCUCUUGUACAGUCAAGGAAAUUACAAGAAAAUGGAUGGAAACCAAAGUGGUUCGAGAGAGAAGGUGAAGAUGGACCCUUUCGUUAUAUGGGCGGAUACUGGGAAGCUCGGGACCAGGGAAAAUGGGAUGGGUGCCCAAAUAUAUUCGGUGAAUUCACAGAAGACCUUGUUAAUUCCUAUGAAGGGUCUGGAUUAUAACUCAGGUGCAUACUUUUUUUCUGGAAAACCAUGUUGACACCUCUAGAAUACUUUUCCCCCCUUUUGCUACUUCCAUUAGGUCAGGCAAGUUAUGUGAUCUGAUGGUAUGGGACAUUGCAG